CUCUGAUCGUGUGGUUAGAUGGUUCCAUGGUGGCUAUUGGCCAAGUGUGCCUUAUCUAUUACAGUUAAUAUUAUCAUCUCUCCCAAAAUCAAAACUUUCCUCUGCAAACAUUCUCUUAUCCAUGGCUUCAUCUACUCUCUCUCCGGUAGCUCCUUCACAGCUAUGCUCUGGCAAGAGUGCAAUGUUCUCUCCUACACAUGCUGCGUUUGCAAAGCCAACAAGAAGCCAUAUGGUGACCAAGGACAGAUCAAUGAGAAUCACUUGUCAGGCCACAAGUGUUCCGGCUGAUGAUAGAGUUCCUGAUAUGGGCAAGAGGCAGCUCAUGAAUCUGCUGCUUCUGGGUGCUAUUUCUCUCCCUACUGGUUUCAUGGUGGUUCCUUAUGCGACCUUCUUUGUACCAGCUGGGAGUGGUGGUUCUGGAGGUGGUACCGUUGCCAAGGAUGCCACUGGAAACGAUGUCAUUGCAGAACAAUGGCUUAAGACUCAUGGCCCUGGAGACCGAACCCUAACUCAAGGAUUAAAGGGAGAUCCCACCUACCUUGUUGUGGAGAAGGACAGAACUCUCGCAACAUAUGGAAUUAAUGCAGUCUGCACACAUCUUGGGUGUGUCGUGCCCUGGAAUGCUGCUGAGAAUAAAUUCAUCUGUCCCUGCCAUGGAUCCCAGUACAAUGACCAAGGAAGAGUUGUGAGAGGGCCUGCUCCUCUGUCACUCGCCCUGGCUCAUGCUGAUGUAGAUGACGGCAAGGUGGUCUUUGUCCCAUGGGUUGAAACAGAUUUCAGAACUGGAGAUGCUCCAUGGUGGGCUUAGUUAGCUUCCUGCCACGCCAAUUCUCCCAUAAUUCAUGUUGAAGAUGUAAUGAAUGAAUCAAUUGUUUUGGGGCUUCCUGAACACAUGCAGUGGAGGUUAUGAAAAUGGGUUGUAUUUUAAGAGGAAGGAAUGUUGAGUUCAUCGCAGCACUUCAACAACAAAUUCUUGGUAAUUUUAAUAUUUUUACGGUUAAGACCAUGACUUUUAGAGACGUUUUAAGCUGGCUCAAGGAUGGUGGUUGGUCCUCGGUUAUUGUAAAGUCAGACACUCAACUUUAAGUUCGAGCUAUAGCUAUUCCAAUUACGAGGAUUUGUCAUUAUUUGAUAGUCUUAUUUUUUUAUUGUAAAUCUCUUAUUUUGGAGAUAAUUUCUAUUUUUAUUAACUUUGUUCGUAAGUUUGCUAAUAGUGUAAUUCAUGCGUUUAUUUGAGUUAGGUAUGA